rnacentral:rRNA from 1 species
UAAUACGGAGGGUGCAAGCGUUAAUCGGAAUUACUGGGCGUAAAGGGUGCGUAGGUUGUUUGGUAAGCUAUCUGUGAAAUCCCCGGGCUUAACCUGGGCAGGUCAGAUAUAACUGCUGAACUCGAGUAUAGGAGAGGGUAGUGGAAUUUCCGGUGUAGCGGUGAAAUGCGUAGAGAUCGGAAGGAACACCAGUGGCGAAGGCGGCUACCUGGCCUGAUACUGACACUGAGGCACGAAAGCGUGGGGAGCAAACAGGAUUAGAUACCCUGGUAGUCCACGCUGUAAACGAUGUCAACUAGCUGUUGGCCAUAUGAAUGUGGUUAGUGGCGAAGCUAACGCGAUAAGUUGACCGCCUGGGGAGUACGGUCGCAAGAUUA